GGGGAGAGGAACUUGUUCCUCGAGUCGUUGAUUUCACACUGCCGAGAAAAGCCUCUAGCUAGAAUAACGGUGCCCGUACCGCAAACCGACACAGGUAGUCAAGAUGAGAAUUCUAAGGUGAGCGAGCGAACUCUCGUUAAGGAACUCGGCAAAAUGACCCCGUAACUUCGGGAGAAGGGGUGCUCUUUGAGGUUCACGCUUCGAAGAGCCGCAGUGAAUAGGCCCAAGCGACUGUUUAUCAAAAACACAGGUCUCUGCUAAACCGUAAGGUGACGUAUAGGGGCUGACGCCUGCCCGGUGCUGGAAGGUUAAGAGGAGUGGUUAGCGCAAGCGAAGCUACGAAUCGAAGCCCCAGUAAACGGCGGCCGUAACUAUAACGGUCCUAAGGUAGCGAAAUUCCUUGUCGGGUAAGUUCCGACCCGCACGAAAGGCGUAACGAUUUGGGCACUGUCUCAACGAGAGACUCGGUGAAAUCAUAGUACCGGUGAAGAUGCCGGUUACCCGCGACAGGACGGAAAGACCCCGUGGAGCUUUACUGUAGCCUGAUAUUGAAAUUCGGUACAGUUUGUACAGGAUAGGUAGGAGCCUUAGAAGCGU
rnacentral:rRNA from 1 species